CCCUUAGAUGUCCUGGGCCGCACGCGCGCUACACUGAGUGUCUGAGAUACGAGUCUGCCUGGUCCGGCAAGGUCUAGGUAAUCGCUAAAAGACACAUCAUGCUUGGGAUAGAUUAUUGCAAAUAUUAAUCUUGAACGAGGAAUUCCUAGUAAGCGCAAGUCAACAGCUUGCGUUGAUUACGUCCCUGCCCUUUGUACACACCGCCCGUCGCUACUACUGAUUGGAUGUUUAAGCGAGGUUCUCGAACUGCUAGCGACUUAGCUUCGGUGAGGUCGCAGUGUGGGAAGUGAACCUAGCUUCGGUGUCUAGAGGAAGUAAAAGUCGUAACA
rnacentral:rRNA from 1 species